GCAUGCUCCACGGUGCUCACAACACAGCCACACACACACACGAGGUGCGUGUGUGACCAGUGCUGUACGUGAGCCCGGAGCUUGCGCCUGCACCAAGAAUUGAAAACAGGAUCAGCUCUGCUUUAAGCCGGGCAACACACACGGUGCCACUAGGCCGGCGGGUUCGCCUUAGCUCCCCCGCCACAGUCUUGCUUUCACUUCGCCUUCGGGUUUUGGGAGACCCUUAGACUUGCACACAUGCUAUACUCCUUGGCCCGUGUUUCGAGACGUGACCGAUGGUGCUGGACUUGACACCACUCAGACCAACGCCCGGCUGAGAGACCUUGCAGAAUGCAGAGGGUCAUACCGCCUGGGAUGGACACUUCCGGCACAGUGGAAGCGCCCGGACGUCGGUCUGGCCAGAAAGCAGCUCGUCGCAAGAGGAUCAUACCAGGUUUAUCUCGGUCGCCGCCCGACCCAGGACUAGACACGCGUCCAUGCUCCUCCAAGAGCUGGAGCAAGAGAGACGCAUCGUUGCCAUCGUCCUGGAUGCGCGAUCGGCAGUUUGAGCCUGUGGGUGACCUCACAACGUGCCGUGGUGGGCGUAACCGCAUUAGACACAGCAGCUCUGAACGUCCAUGCUAAAGGAAACGGCCGGAAGCCCUUCGGCCGAAGCCUGAGACCGCCAAACCGAAUCCCCGUACGCCAGCUAAGCGGCAAACUCAAUGCUCCGCCUGACGAACCUUGCUGCAUGCCUUCCGGAACACCACAUGUGAUGCCCGAGACUGCGGAAGCCUUCCAAGCUCCAUCGGCUUAUACUCUGAGCGGUUUCACGGUCUUU
rnacentral:rRNA from 1 species